GACGAACGCUGGCGGCGUGCUUAACACAUGCAAGUCGAGCGGUAAGGCCCUUUCGGGGGUACGACGAGCGGCGAACGGGUGAGUAACACGUGGGUGACCUGCCCUCAGCUCUGGGAUAAGCCUGGGAAACCGGGUCUAAUACUGGAUAUGACUCCAUGACGCAUGUUGUGGGGUGGGAAAGCCUUGUGCGGCUGAGGAUGGGCCCGCGGCCUACCAGCUUGUUGGUGGGGUGAUGGCCUACCAAGGCGACGACGGGUAGCCGGCCUGAGAGGGCGACCGGCCACACUGGGACUGAGACACGGCCCAGACUCCUACGGGAGGCAGCAGUGGGGAAUCUUGCGCAAUGGGCGAAAGCCUGACGCAGCGACGCCGCGUGAGGGAUGACGGCCUGG
rnacentral:rRNA from 1 species